UACAGAGGUCUCAAGCGUUGUUCGGAUUCAUUGGGCGUAAAGGGUGCGUAGGUGGCGCGGUAAGUCGGGUGUGAAAUUUCGGAGCUUAACUCCGAAACUGCAUUCGAUACUGCCGUGCUUGAGGACUGGAGAGGAGACUGGAAUUAACGGUGUAGCGGUGAAAUGCGUAGAUAUCGUAAGGAAGACCAGUGGCGAAGGCGGGUCUCUGGACAGUUCCUGACGCUGAGGCACGAAGGCCAGGGGAGCAAACGGG
rnacentral:rRNA from 1 species